GGGUUGUGAGGUUAAGCGACUAAGCGUACACGGUGGAUGCCCUGGCAGUCAGAGGCGAUGAAGGACGUGCUAAUCUGCGAUAAGCGUCGGUAAGGUGAUAUGAACCGUUAUAACCGGCGAUUUCCGAAUGGGGAAACCCAGUGUGUUUCGACACACUAUCAUUAACUGAAUCCAUAGGUUAAUGAGGCGAACCGGGGGAACUGAAACAUCUAAGUACCCCGAGGAAAAGAAAUCAACCGAGAUUCCCCCAGUAGCGGCGAGCGAACGGGGAGCAGCCCAGAGCCUGAAUCAGUGUGUGUGUUAGUGGAAGCGUCUGGAAAGGCGCGCGAUACAGGGUGACAGCCCCGUACACAAAAAUGCACAUGCUGUGAGCUCGAUGAGUAGGGCGGGACACGUGGUAUCCUGUCUGAAUAUGGGGGGACCAUCCUCCAAGGCUAAAUACUCCUGACUGACCGAUAGUGAACCAGUACCGUGAGGGAAAGGCGAAAAGAACCCCGGCGAGGGGAGUGAAAAAGAACCUGAAACCGUGUACGUACAAGCAGUGGGAGCACGCUUCGGCGUGUGACUGCGUACCUUUUGUAUAAUGGGUCAGCGACUUAUAUUCUGUAGCAAGGUUAACCGAAUAGGGGAGCCGAAGGGAAACCGAGUCUUAACUGGGCGUUAAGUUGCAGGGUAUAGACCCGAAACCCGGUGAUCUAGCCAUGGGCAGGUUGAAGGUUGGGUAACACUAACUGGAGGACCGAACCGACUAAUGUUGAAAAAUUAGCGGAUGACUUGUGGCUGGGGGGUGAAAGGCCAAUCAAACCGGGAGAUAGCUGGUUCUCCCCGAAAGCUAUUUAGGUAGCGCCUCGUGAAUUCAUCUCCGGGGGUAGAGCACUGUUUCGGCAAGGGGGUCAUCCCGACUUACCAACCCGAUGCAAACUGCGAAUACCGGAGAAUGUUAUCACGGGAGACACACGGCGGGUGCUAACGUCCGUCGUGAAGAGGGAAACAACCCAGACCGCCAGCUAAGGUCCCAAAGUCAUGGUUAAGUGGGAAACGAUGUGGGAAGGCCCAGACAGCCAGGAUGUUGGCUUAGAAGCAGCCAUCAUUUAAAGAAAGCGUAAUAGCUCACUGGUCGAGUCGGCCUGCGCGGAAGAUGUAACGGGGCUAAACCAUGCACCGAAGCUGCGGCAGCGACGCUUAUGCGUUGUUGGGUAGGGGAGCGUUCUGUAAGCCUGCGAAGGUGUGUUGUGAGGCAUGCUGGAGGUAUCAGAAGUGCGAAUGCUGACAUAAGUAACGAUAAAGCGGGUGAAAAGCCCGCUCGCCGGAAGACCAAGGGUUCCUGUCCAACGUUAAUCGGGGCAGGGUGAGUCGACCCCUAAGGCGAGGCCGAAAGGCGUAGUCGAUGGGAAACAGGUUAAUAUUCCUGUACUUGGUGUUACUGCGAAGGGGGGACGGAGAAGGCUAUGUUGGCCGGGCGACGGUUGUCCCGGUUUAAGCGUGUAGGCUGGUUUUCGAGGCAAAUCCGGAAAAUCAAGGCUGAGGCGUGAUGACGAGGCACUACGGUGCUGAAGCAACAAAUGCCCUGCUUCGGGAAAAGCCUCUAAGCAUCAGGUAACAUCAAAUCGUACCCCCAAACCGACACAGGUGGUCAGGUAGAGAAUACCAAGGCGCUUGAGAGAACUCGGGUGAAGGAACUAGGCAAAAUGGUGCCGUAACUUCGGGAGAAGGCACGCUGAUAUGUAGGUGAAGUCCCUCGCGGAUGGAGCUGAAAUCAGUCGAAGAUACCAGCUGGCUGCAACUGUUUAUUAAAAACACAGCACUGUGCAAACACGAAAGUGGACGUAUACGGUGUGACGCCUGCCCGGUGCCGGAAGGUUAAUUGAUGGGGUUAGCCGCAAGGCGAAGCUCUUGAUCGAAGCCCCGGUAAACGGCGGCCGUAACUAUAACGGUCCUAAGGUAGCGAAAUUCCUUGUCGGGUAAGUUCCGACCUGCACGAAUGGCGUAAUGAUGGCGAGGCUGUCUCCACCCGAGACUCAGUGAAAUUGAACUCGCUGUGAAGAUGCAGUGUACCCGCGGCAAGACGGAAAGACCCCGUGAACCUUUACUAUAGCUUGACACUGAACAUUGAGCCUUGAUGUGUAGGAUAGGUGGGAGGCUUUGAAGUGUGGACGCCAGUCUGCAUGGAGCCGACCUUGAAAUACCACCCUUUAAUGUUUGAUGUUCUAACGUUGACCCGUAAUCCGGGUUGCGGACAGUGUCUGGUGGGUAGUUUGACUGGGGCGGUCUCCUCCUAAAGAGUAACGGAGGAGCACGAAGGUUGGCUAAUCCUGGUCGGACAUCAGGAGGUUAGUGCAAUGGCAUAAGCCAGCUUGACUGCGAGCGUGACGGCGCGAGCAGGUGCGAAAGCAGGUCAUAGUGAUCCGGUGGUUCUGAAUGGAAGGGCCAUCGCUCAACGGAUAAAAGGUACUCCGGGGAUAACAGGCUGAUACCGCCCAAGAGUUCAUAUCGACGGCGGUGUUUGGCACCUCGAUGUCGGCUCAUCACAUCCUGGGGCUGAAGUAGGUCCCAAGGGUAUGGCUGUUCGCCAUUUAAAGUGGUACGCGAGCUGGGUUUAGAACGUCGUGAGACAGUUCGGUCCCUAUCUGCCGUGGGCGCUGGAGAACUGAGGGGGGCUGCUCCUAGUACGAGAGGACCGGAGUGGACGCAUCACUGGUGUUCGGGUUGUCAUGCCAAUGGCACUGCCCGGUAGCUAAAUGCGGAAGAGAUAAGUGCUGAAAGCAUCUAAGCACGAAACUUGCCCCGAGAUGAGUUCUCCCUGACCCUUUAAGGGUCCUGAAGGAACGUUGAAGACGACGACGUUGAUAGGCCGGGUGUGUAAGCGCAGCGAUGCGUUGAGCUAACCGGUACUAAUGAACCGUGAGGCUUAACCUUACAACGCCGAAGCUGUU
rnacentral:rRNA from 1 species